rnacentral:rRNA from 1 species
GAUGAACGCUAGCUACAGGCUUAACACAUGCAAGUCGAGGGGUAACGAGAGGAAAGCUUGCUUUCCUUGUCGACGACCGGCGCACGGGUGAGUAACGCGUAUCCAACCUGCCCCCAACUAGGGAAUAACCUUGCGAAAGUAAGACUAAUACCCUAUAAUUUCCUCAGAUGUCAUCUGACGAGGAAUAAAGAUUUAUCGGUUGUGGAUGGGGAUGCGUCUGAUUAGCUUGUUGGGGGGGUAACGGCCCACCAAGGCAACGAUCAGUAGGGGUUUUGAGAGGAAGGUCCCCCACAGUGGAACUGAGACACGGUCCAAACUCCUACGGGAGGCAGCAGUGAGGAUUAUUGGUCAAUGGGCGGAAGCCUAAACCAGCCAAGUAGCGUGCAGGAUGAUGGCCCUAUGGGUUUUAAACUGCUUUUAUACAGGAAUAAAGUUAGCCACGUGUGGUUAUUUGUAGGUACUGUAUGAAUAAGGACCGGCUAAUUCCGUGCCAGCAGCCGCGGUAA